rnacentral:lncRNA from 1 species
CGAUGGUCCGCCCUGACUAUGAGACAGACGCAAGGCAAGAGCAGCAUACAUCUGCACACAAACAAAAAAUUCAGUUAACCAUACACAGAUACGAAAUUCAGUUAACUGAAGACAAAAGCAAAUAUACUUAACCAGACAGCAAACCAACAUCAGAAAAGUAUUCAAUACAAAGACUUCAGUACAUAAUUCUUCAUGACUACAGCAUUUAACACUUGAAUUUGGCAUCAAUAAUCUGUUCUUACAUAAUUCUUCAAGUACAUAGAUUAGGCCAAUCUACUUGUACACUUAGGCCACGACAGACUAUAGUCAGCCCCAAAAUCCAAAAUAAUAUAGUCAUCUUUGUCCAAAAUACUAGUCAAAAUGUCCAAAACACUAUCUAGCUUACAUGUUAGAUCAGAUCUUCAUCAUAAAAACCACCAGGGGGAGCCAUUAAGAGCUGUGUGUAACUGAUGGCCGUGUUGCCCUCUUGAAGCUCCACAUUUGCUCUUUCAGCGUCAUCGUCCUUUUCCACUCUCACUUGAGCCUGUCCACCAUC